rnacentral:rRNA from 1 species
CCUACGGGUGGCAGCAGUGGGGAAUAUUGGUCAAUGGGCGCAAGCCUGACCCAGCAACGCCGCGUGAAGGAAGAAGGCUUUCGGGUUUUAAACUUCUUUUCUUAGGGGCGAAAAAAGUGACGGUACCCGAGGAAUAAGCCCCGGCUAACUACGUGCCAGCAGCCGCGGUAAUACGUCGGUGGCCAGCGUUAUUCGGAUUUACUGGUGGUAAAGGGCGUGUAGGCGGGAAUGCAAGUAAGAUGUGAAAUCCAAGGGCUCAACCCGGGGACUGCCUUUGAAACUGGGAGUCUUGAGUACAGGAGAGGAAGGCGGAAUUCGGGGUGUAGCGGUGAAAUGCGUAGAUAUUAGGAGGAACACCAGUGGCGAAGGCGGUUUGCUGGACAGCAACUGACGCUGAGGCACGAAAGCGUGGGGAGCAAACAGGAUUAGAUACCCGGGUAGUC